rnacentral:rRNA from 1 species
UGGGGAAUCUUGGACAAUGGGCGCAAGCCUGAUCCAGCCAUGCCGCGUGAGUGAAGAAGGCCUUAGGGUCGUAAAGCUCUUUCACCAGGGAUGAUAAUGACUGUAUCAGGUAAAGAAACCCCGGCUAACUCCGUGCCAGCAGCCGCGGUAAUACGGAGGGGGUUAGCGUUGUUCGGAAUUUCUGGGCGUAAAGCGCGCGUAGGCGGAUUAAAAAGUUGGGGGUGAAAUCCCGGGGCUCAACCCUGGAACUGCCUCCAAAACUGCCAGUCUAGAGUUCGAGAGAGGUGAGGGGAAUUCCGAGUGUAGAGGUGAAAUUCGUAGAUAUUGGGAAGAACACCAGGGGCGAAGGCGGCUCACUGGCUCGAUACUGACGCUGAGGUGCGAAAGUGUGGGGAGCAAACAGGAUUAGAUCCCCUGGUAGUCCACCCCGUAAACGAUGAAUGCCAGUCGUCGGGAAGUAUACUAUUCGGUGACGCAGCUAACGCAUAAGCAUCCGCCUGGAGACGA